CCCUUAGAUGUUCUGGGCUGCACGCGCGCUACACUGAAGCUAUCAACACGUUUUCCCUCCCUGAGAAGGGCGGGUAACCUUCUGAAUCAGCUUCGUGGUAGGGAUCGGGGCUUGCAAUUGUUCCCCGUGAACCAGGAAUUCCUAGUAGACGCGAGUCAUAAGCUCGCAUCGAUUAAGUCCCUGCCCUUUGUACACACCGCCCGUCGCUACUACCGAUUGAACGUUUUAGUGAGGCAUUUGGACCGACGCAUCUCAGUUUAACCGCUGGUUUGUGUUGGAAAGACUUCCAAACUUGAGCGUUUAGAGGAAGUAAAAGUCGUAACA
rnacentral:rRNA from 1 species